AGCUCCAAUAGCGUAUAUUAAAGUUGUUGCAGUUAAAAAGCUCGUAGUUGGAUUUGGGACUGGAGUCGUCGGGUCGGCCGCGAGGUCUGUUACUGGACGGCUCCGUCAUUUCAUCUCUCGGAGACCCGUCGUGCACUUCGCUGUGCGCGGCGCGGGACUCGGGACGUUUACUUUGAAAAAAUUAGAGUGUUCAAAGCAGGCCAUCGCUUGAAUACAUUAGCAUGGAAUAAUGGAAUAGGACUUUGGUUCUAUUUUGUUGGUUUCUAGGACUAAAGUAAUGAUUAAUAGGGACAGUUGGGGGCAUUAGUAUUUAAUUGUCAGAGGUGAAAUUCUUGGAUUUAUGAAAGACUAACUUCUGCGAAAGCAUUUGCCAAGGAUGUUUUCAUUAAUCAAGAACGAA
rnacentral:rRNA from 1 species